CGAACGGGUGAGUAAUGCGUGACCAACCUGCCCCAUGCUCCAGAAUAGCUCUUGGAAACGGGUGGUAAUGCUGGAUGCUCCAACUUGACGCAUGUCUUGUUGGGAAAGUGUUUAGUGGCAUGGGAUGGGGUCGCGUCCUAUCAGCUUGUAGGCGGGGUAACGGCCCACCAAGGCGACGAUCAGUAGGGGUUCUGAGAGGAAGGUCCCCCACAUUGGAACUGAGACACGGUCCAAACUCCUACGGGAGGCAGCAGAG
rnacentral:rRNA from 1 species